CAGUCGCCACGGUAAAACGUAGGGUGCGAGCGUUAAUCGGAAUUACUGGGCGUAAAGCGUGCGCAGGCGGUUUUGUAAGACAGGCGUGAAAUCCCCGGGCUCAACCUGGGAAUGGCGCUUGUGACUGCAAAGCUAGAGUGCGGCAGAGGGGAUGGAAUUCCGCGUGUAGCAGUGAAAUGCGUAGAUAUGCGGAGGAGCACCGAUGGCGAAGGCAAUCCCCUGGGCCUGCACUGACGCUCAUGCACGAAAGCGUGGGGAGCAAACAGGAUUAGAUACCCCUGUAGCCCCUGUCUCUUAUACA
rnacentral:rRNA from 1 species